rnacentral:rRNA from 1 species
AAACUGCGAAUGGCUCAUUAAAUCAGUUAUCGUUUAAUAGAUAGUACCUUACUACUUGGAUAACCGUGGUAAUUCUAGAGCUAAUACAUGCUGAAAACCCCAACUUCGGGAGGGGUGUAUUUAUUAGAUAAAAAACCAACGCCCUUCGGGGCUUCUUGGUGAUUCAUGAUAACUUUACGGAUCGCAUGGCCUUGCGCUGGCGACGGUUCAUUCAAAUUUCUGCCCUAUCAACUUUCGAUGGUAAGGUAUUGGCUUACCAUGGUUUCAACGGGUAACGGGGAAUUAGGGUUCGAUUCCGGAGAGGGAGCCUGAGAAACGGCUACCACAUCCAAGGAAGGCAGCAGGCGCGCAAAUUACCCAAUCCCGACACGGGGAGGUAGUGACAAUAAAUACUGAUACAGGGCUCUUUUGGGUCUUGUAAUUGGAAUGAGUACAAUUUAAACCUCUUAACGAGGAACAAUUGGAGGGCAAGUCUGGUGCCAGCAGCCGCGGUAAUUCCAGCUCCAAUAGCGUAUAUUAAAGUUGUUGCAGUUAAAAAGCUCGUAGUUGAAACUUGGGUCUGGCUGGCGGGUCCGCCUCACCGCGUGUACUUGUCCGGCCGGGCCUUCCUUCUGGAGAACCUCAUGCCCUUUACUGGGCGUGUUGGGGACCAGGACUUUUACUUUGAAAAAAUUAGAGUGUUCAAAGCAGGCCUUUGCUCGAAUACGUUAGCAUGGAAUAAUAGAAUAGGACGUGCGGUCCUAUUUUGUUGGUUUCUAGGACCGCCGUAAUGAUUAAUAGGGACAGUCGGGGGCAUCAGUAUUCAAUUGUCAGAGGUGAAAUUCUUGGAUUUAUUGAAGACUAACUACUGCGAAAGCAUUUGCCAAGGAUGUUUUCAUUAAUCAGUGAACGAAAGUUAGGGGAUCGAAGACGAUCAGAUACCGUCGUAGUCUUAACCGUAAACUAUGCCGACUAGGGAUCGGGCGAUGUUCUUUUUCUGACUCGCUCGGCACCUUACGAGAAAUCAAAGUUUUUGG